rnacentral:lncRNA from 1 species
CUGUCUGUGCCCCAGGCUACUUCAUUUGUCUUUGACAUAGUAGUAGCGGACUUUCCUUCCACCUACAAAUCCAAGACAAACUCCUACAAUUUGCUUUACAAUGUACCUCAGUGUUUUACUUUUUGGGGAUUGUAUUUUAAAUCGGAAAAACAUGAAAAUUCACGAUUCUUUCAUUUCUCUAGAAAGAUCUCCGAGUCACACAGAACAUUACCAUUCCUAUUGAGCCUUGGGUGGUGUUUUUCUCUUUUCACUGGUUGUUCCUUGCUGGUCUUCAGAAGUUUAAAAUCCAGUUCUGGGAUUUCUCCAGGAACAUAUGAAAGACACUUUGGAGAAGGUCACCUUUGUUUACACCUGUUUACUUCAGACUCAAACACACACAAGUGAGUUUCUGAGAAGCUGAAAAAUAAACCUUCCCUGUUACUUUUCCUAAUUCAAGACUUUACAACUAUGCUUUGCACAGUCAUCCUCACUAUAAACACUAGAAAUUUAAACAUUCUCCACCUUACAGCAGAUACUGUAAAAAGAUUUGACCCGAAACUAAGACCAUGUUUGAACUUUUGU